AUUAUCAAUUAAGAAAACAAAAGUUUGCUGCUAAUCCCUAAACCACAACAAGAACACAAACGUGAACAACUAAACAAUAGACAAAGAUAUUGCGGCCACCACACUUACUGUAGUGAUUCAACGUCACCGGAGACGAUCGAGGUCCUUCGCGUCGGUUGAUGAAAGGGUGUUUUUCGUCGCCGCAACCACCAUCUAACACCCGGUUCUGCAAUUAUAGAAAUAAGAAAAGAAUCUAGUGAAGAGAAAAAGGCUUGUGUCAGAAAAAACGACUUGUAGGCUUGGGUUAGAUUGAUCUGCACUCCUCUAGACGAACCAGUGUCCUUGUCAACUUUUGGGAUCCAAUGAUUCUGGAUAUUAUGUAUGUCGAUCUAUGCAGGAGACAAUAGCAAGUAGAGGACAAGUAGUUCCCCCAGAGGUAACUUACUUUCCUAGACUUCCUGCCACUUAUUCUCAAGAAAUGGUUAACGAGAUACGAGACACUUUGGUAACUUAUGUUUUGAAGCAUAUGCAAGUCAACAAUCAAGAAGUCGGAGAAAAUGAGUGCAUGGAUGUUGAUCAAGAAUGACUUUGUAGCUAAAUGUUUUGGACAUUCAUAUUUUAGUAAGAAAAAAAUGUUUUAGGAAUUUUUGUGUGUAAUAAAUGUAAGGAGUUUUGGAGGAUGAUUAAUUAGGUACACUAGUUUAAUUACAGGUUUGGAUAACUGCGAAACUUAUAUUUAAUUCUUAUGGUUGUUGUUAGCCCAUAAUUUUGGAUUUGUUGGAUUGUAUUUAUUAAUUAGUGAAUAUUGCAAGUACA